UUGCCUUAUUUUCUUAACCGUUGAUUGGAACAAGAGAACCUCAUUCAUUUGUCUGAUCAUGCGGAUCCCUUUCCGAAUUCUAUUCUCAAGGUCUGGAUAAUUUGGGCCCCUAUUAUGUGAAUAGUGUCCAGGAAGAUCCUCUUCUUCCACGAUUGUUUGUUUCAUCAUCGCCCUGGUGAACCUUGGGUUAGGUCUAACUUCGGCCUUUCCUGCUCGAGUCUUUUCCAUCUUGGACCAGCUAGUGUAGGAAGACCUUCAGGGCUCAACAAUUCUCUGUUCCGAGUCCCUUUUCUUUGUGGAAGGAGCAUUUCAAUCGAAAGAGCAUUUCAACCGUUGGUUGCGCUUCUUAGGGUCUCCUCCCAUGGGUUUGGAUUUUCUGAAAUAAAGCUUAUCUCAGAUUCGGGCAAGUAGCUUAUUGGUUACUUAAAAACCACGUUGAUCCCCUACCUCACCCGAUUUUCGUGGUAAACCGAACUUCAUUGCGCCUUUUGAACAGCCCCUUCCCCUAGACAGUUGUCCUUGUAGUUCAUUCUUCUUGUCGGACGUCAUUUUCCAAUCGAGCGAACCUUCUGAAUCAGGACAUGAGGUGCUAGAGCUCAGCUGGAGAGUUGGGCGUCAAAUUCUCCCCUGAAGUCAAUCCGAGCUUGUAGCUGGCCACGGCUAACUCUUCCGAGCACUCUUCAAUCUCGUUGUAAGUCUCCCAAUAUUACUUGCUGUAAUUUGCGAUUGAUUCGAUUCAAUAGAAACCUAACAAAACACUAAUUUACCAUUUUCUUUUUCUUUAGUCGUAAAGAUCUUCACCCAUAAACCUCGCCAGCAUUUCAUCAUCGAUAGCAGAACAAUCACAACAGUUGAUUUUUUUAGCCUUACCGCACGGAGUCUCCUCCGCAACACCACGCACCAUCUGACCUAUAAACCCCACGCCGCUCCGUCUGCAGCCGGAAACAACCAGUCGCGGCGGGCAACGUUCAUUCCGCAGGUGUUGACGCUCGCCAUGACGGAGAAAUACGACUCGCACGACUCCUCGUUGACGGUGAUCGUGACGUACGACGACGACGAGGAUUUAUACUCGAUGAACCUCACUUUCACCGAGACUUCACCUCCUAUUCGAGAAGCUUAGCUAGUUUGUUAACCGAUUCGUCGUCCAUGCUCAACAACGCCUCCAUUUCUUCGGACUCUUCCACCAUCGCCGGAGUUCGAACACGUUUUCCGGCGAUUUCUUCACCGUCGUCUUCGUCUCCGCCGCCUAGUCUGUUUCUAUUUUCUUCCAGAGAGAGAGAGAGACAGAGGACAGGAAGCUAGAGGGCGGGUUAUUGGGACUCGAGACUACAACUGGAGGACAAUGUCUUCUCUCAUGCUAUAUACAGGGUCUGUGUCCUAGAGAUAUUUGAAGGCGUUCUAGCUUCUCGGGAGAAAGCAGACUCCUGAAACUUUUCUUUUGACCCCAAAAAAUUCCCAAUCUACGAUUAUUAUAUCCUUCCCCAG
rnacentral:lncRNA from 1 species